UUGCCCGAUGAUUAUAAAAAGACGCGAAAGAGGACUUGAAGCUGGAUCUUUUCCUUUUUUCUCUUCUAUUCUUUCUCACUCUCAUCUCUACUAUUCUUUCUCACUUGUCUCUACUUUCCCCCCUAUUCUCUGCUUCUUUUUCUCUUUGGAUAUCCAGCGUCCGAUGAGCGAAGAUUAUGAGAUAUGAGGGCAA
rnacentral:snoRNA from 1 species